rnacentral:rRNA from 1 species
UACGUAGGGCGCAAGCGUUAUCCGGAGUUACUGGGCGUAAAGGGCGUGUAGGCGGACGUGUAAGUCUAUUCUGAAAGCUCCUGGCUAAACUGGGAGAGGCGAAUGGAGACUGCAUCUCUAGAGUGAGGAAGAGGAAAGUGGAAUUCCGCGUGUAGUGGUGAAAUGCGUAGAUAUGCGGAGGAACACCGAUGGCGAAGGCAAUCCCCUGGGCCUGCACUGACGCUCAUGCACGAAAGCGUGGGGAGCAAACAGG